rnacentral:rRNA from 1 species
AUACGUAGGUGACAAGCGUUAUCCGGAUUUACUGGGCGUAAAGGGCGUGUAGGCGGUCUUGCAAGUCAGAAGUGAAAUUCCUGAGCUCAACUCGGGCGCUGCUUCUGAAACUGCAGGGCUUGAGUGCAGGAGAGGUAAGUGGAAUUCCCAGUGUAGCGGCGAAAUGCGUAGAGAUUGGGAGGAACACCAGUGGCGAAGGCGACUUACUGGACUGUAACUGACGCUGAGGCGCGAAAGUGUGGGGAGCAAACAGGAUUAGAUACCCUGGUAGUCCACACUGUAAACGAUGAAUGCUAGGUGUAGGGGGUAUCGACCCCUUCUGUGCCGCAGUCAACACAAUAAGCAUUCCGCCUGGGGAGUACGGCCGCAAGGUUGAAACUCAAAUGAAUUGGCGGG